rnacentral:rRNA from 1 species
UACGUAGGGUGCGAGCGUUGUCCGGAAUUAUUGGGCGUAAAGAGCUCGUAGGCGGUGUGUUACGUCGGGCGUGAAAACCUGCAGCUUAACUGUGGGCGUGCGGUCGAUACGGGCAUCACUGGAGUUCGGCAGGGGAGACUGGAAUUCCUGGUGUAGCGGUGAAAUGCGCAGAUAUCAGGAGGAACACCGGUGGCGAAGGCGGGUCUCUGGGCCGAUACUGACGCUGAGGAGCGAAAGCGUGGGGAGCGAACAGG